UGUAAUUUUACAUCGUAUACAACUUUUAAAGCAGCAUGUACAAGAGAUUGCAACACAUUUGAGAGGGGUAGAAUUGGAAAUAAACCAAUAUUUUAAGACAGUCUAAGGGUAAGAUGGUAAAUUUAUCUAUACAAUUUUAAUGUUAGUUCCACCUUUACCCUUUUGUCUCUUCAGCAUCACAAAACCUAUUCAAUGUCUUUAAAUUUAAUGGCUUUAAGAACCCUCGAUUCACCUUCUGACUACCCCAUUAACUGAAGAGAGAGUGAGAGUUAUAAAAAGUGAGAAAGAUGUAGACAAUAGAGAGAGAAGGGAGGUUGGAGGGCGACGACAUGAAGGCGUAGGAUCGUGAUUCCGAUCAUACUCCGGCACGAGAAUCGGCGAGGAGAGGAAUCUAUUUGACGGUGGUGGUUCGAUUAGGCACCAGAAGGUCGACGGUUUUAGGUUCUAGCGACACAUGUAUGAAUAGGGUUCAGCGUUGGUUGACACGACGAUGGCUAUGGAUUCCUGCAAUAUGUGCCUCAUUCUAGCCGUAAUACUUGAAUUUUGUAAAUAUGUGCCUCAAUAAUCAAAGGACUUGGUAUAAGUGAAUGUGAUAAUUGUUUGAAUUAUGAGCCAUACAAUUAUUACCUGGUGGUUCCAUCGUCGUGGUACAUCUUCCUUUUCCUAUUAGUUCUAAUGAAGAAAUUAGUUCUUAGGUGUGAGCCCUUUUUCUUAAUCAUAUAUGGGUUGUAUAUAAUUUGUUUCUUCUCGAGUUGAGUUUUAGUUUUACCACAACCCUCUUCUAUAAGGGGUAGACAAUGGUGGUUUACAGAUUAGGGCACAAGAUUGUGAGCUCCCGUUCCAAAUAGCUGCUUAUCAAUCGAGGGUUUCCCAUGGAUCUUUCCGAUGAAGUUGUACACCCGAGGGUGCCAUUAAUUGAUUGCUUAGCUAGCUUUUCUCAUCCAGAGGAGGUUCAAGGUUUCUAUAGCACUGCGUUAAAAGCUAGGACAACUGCUAUCAAGUAAUCUUAUUUGUUUUCUGCUAUAUUUUGAGUGUUCCUUGCCAAUAUAAAUACUUCUUAAUUCUGAAUCUGAGAGCAUUUUGGCUGAGUGUUGUGGAUGCCUUGCUGCAAUUUUAUUAUCAAUUAGCGAAUAUUAUGACAUGGCGGACUGGUGGUUAUUGGCAGGGAGUUGUUGCCUGCAUUACUAACACUUACAAAAGCUCUAGCUCUGCAAGUUGCAGAACAAGCAUUAAGUGCUUUAGCGACCCUUUUAUUGGAUAAAGAAGUUCUGGGAAGGAAUGCUUGUGAAUUUUGUCAUCUUCACUCGAUUGUCUCAUGAUCUACUUGAGGUUGUUUUACUUUAAUUCAUUAGUUUAGUUAUGGGUGAAUUUACUUUACCUGCAGCUUAUUAGAAAACUGUAUGUACAUAAGGCUAUUUUAGCUAUGAAAAUGGAGUGUUCCAACUUCAUUCAUCAUGUUUGUUGGAUGAUGGCGAUAGACUUCUCAAGUUCUUGACCAGGUAUCAUGGCACUUCGUUUUGUUGAUUGAGCCCUACUAAUCCUACGCCACCCCCAAACUCAACAAUCGCUUGAUGAGAAACUGAAUAUAAGGGCUUUCAAACAAUGAAAACCAGGAGAAAGCGAUUAUAUAGAUAUUGUAUUUCUAUUCCAAUGAAGAUUUACAUAUGUUUAUAAUUUGAAAUUUAAUGUUGUUUUAUCCUUUUGUUAUGUGACCCGACCCGAUUCGACCCAACUCAAAUCGGACCAAAAUGUUUUUUCGUAUUUAGAAUAAACAACUAACUCUUAAAAUUUCCGCCCCCUUGAAAUUUUUGUUUGGGUCCGCCACUGUCAAGAGUUUGAAACAAGCAGUGGAGAUUUCCAAGGUAGUAAUUUAAUCUAUUUUAUAACUACAAUCUUUGUCUUAAUCAAGUUAUGUUCUCAUUUUUGUUACAGUUGCUGGAGUUUCUCAUAGAUGGUGGCCAAGAACUCGAGACGUCCUAUGCAGGUUUGAACAUUAUAGUGGCAAAGCUGGAAUGGUGGUUUGGUUGGUUAGUUUAUAAAGUGGCUGAUUUUAUAAAAAGGAUAACAUUUUAAAACAAGGAAUCAAAUUUCAUCAUUGUUUGAU